GGAGCAUAAGGCCCAAUCCAACGAAUAUGAGGGAGUUUGUGAGGCAAAAAACCACCUCGGGCCCAUGGUGAAUGCCAAAGCCCAAACAAAAAUGAAUGGAAAAUGUAAAGAGGUCAUCAUCCUCCAUCACUACUUACAUCGCUUGCUACCCAGAAGAAAUAGAAGAGAACACCAAACGCGCCAACCCUAGCCGCGCCGGUCACCGACGGCGGAGAUGUCGCAUGGCGACACGCCUCAAUCCACUCUCUGCUUCCAAACCUAACUGAGACCUAACGUGAUUCGAUUCCUGAGUGAAUCAAACGACGGGUCAAAGAAAAGGAUGCUUCAACCACGAUCUAAGUCAGUCAACACGAAUGGAAGAAAAUCACAUAUCGGCGAUGGCGAAGACAGCGUUGGAGCUCAAAUAAUAAAUGAUCUGCGAUGAACCACGACCCGAUGCUACUGCCGCUGCUCGACGAUACUGCUACCGAUCGAUGCUACUACUUAUUCUUGAUGCUACUACUACCACUAUGAUGAUGAAUCACGAUUCACUUCUUGUUGUGGCGUUGCUUCGGUUAACCAUUGUGAAGCAGUUAGCUUUUCCGGUGAUUCACAGAAUUUUGGUGAUGUUGUAUUGCCGAAGAAUUGAAGAAGGAGUGAAGUUUACAGUGUGAUUUACGGGGAGAAGAAGAUGGUGAGAGUUGGUUAGAGUUUUUGAGAAUCGAAGAAGACGAUGGUGAGAGUUUGUUAGAAAUUUUGUGAACCGAAGAAGACGAUGGAGAGAGUUGGUUAGAAAUUUUGUAGAGAGAGAGAGAAAAUUCGUUGUUAAUCAAGCUUUGCUUUGUGUUUUGAUUCAUUUGCCGUUUGCACUUCAUUUUGGCUUGUUUGCCGCGUUGUCGUUCAUAUCCGCUUGCAAUGCGUUUUCCAUUUUACGUUUCACUUGGCGCGAACUUGCGUUUGGCGUUUUAUAUCGGGACUUUCUUCGCUUUAAUUUUCUAUUCUAAGUUGCAACUGCAUUUUGGCUUUGCAGCUUGUUGAUGUGCGUUGCAGCGUGUGGCUUCAUCUACAGCUUCCAAUUUGCAACUCACUCAUUAUUUUCUUGUUGCGCUUGGCUUUGGUUUGCUGUUUUGAUGUUGGCGUGCUGUUAUAAUCACUGUGUUUACGUUUUUACCAUGUAGUUAGCGCUUGGGAUCAACUUACCAUAACUUCCUUUUGUUUCAGCUUUUCAUGUCGUUUAUGUGGUAGCUACUUGAGUUUGUACUGCAUUUUUAUUUCAAUUGUUUUUUGUGAA